rnacentral:rRNA from 1 species
CACGUAGGAUCCGAGCGUUAUCCGAAUUUAUUGGGUUUAAAGGGUGCGUAGGCGGACUAUUAAGUCAGUGGUGAAAGCCUGCAGCUCAACUGCAGAAUUGCCAUUGAAACUGCUUGUCUUGAGUACAUUUGAAGCGGGCGGAAUGUGUCAUGUAGCGGUGAAAUGCUUAGAUAUGACACAGAACACCGAUUGCGAAGGCAGCUCGCUAAACUGUAACCGACACUGAGGCGCGAAAGCGUGGGGAGCAAACAGG